rnacentral:rRNA from 1 species
AGUGAACGCUGGCGGUAGGCCUAACACAUGCAAGUCGAACGGCAGCACAGUAAGAGCUUGCUCUUACGGGUGGCGAGUGGCGGACGGGUGAGGAAUACAUCGGAAUCUACUUUUUCGUGGGGGAUAACGUAGGGAAACUUACGCUAAUACCGCAUACGACCUACGGGUGAAAGCAGGGGAUCUUCGGACCUUGCGCGAUUGAAUGAGCCGAUGUCGGUUUAGCUAGUUGGCGGGGUAAAGGCCCACCAAGGCGACGAUCCGUAGCUGGUCUGAGAGGAUGAUCAGCCACACUGGAAGUGGAACACGGUCAAGAGGCCUGAGGGAGGCAGCAGUGGGGAAUAGUGGACAGUGGGCGCGAGCAUGAUCCAGCCAUACCGCGUGGGUGAAGAAGGCCUUCGGGUUGUAAAGACCUUUUGUUGGGAAAGAAAAGCAGCAGGUUAAUACCCAGCUGUUCUGACGGUACCCAAAGAAUAAGCACCGGCUAACUUCGUG